rnacentral:tRNA from 1 species
GCCCGGGUGGCGAAAUCGGUAGACGCUGCGGUCUUAAACACCGCUGCCCUUUGGGGCGUGGGGGUUCGAGUCCCUCCCCGGGCA